rnacentral:rRNA from 1 species
UACAGGGGGGCAAGCGUUGUUCGGAAUUACUGGGCGUAAAGGGCUCGUAGGCGGCCAACUAAGUCACACGUGAAAUCCCCAGGCUUAACCUGGGAACUGCGUGUGAUACUGGAUGGCUUGAAUCCGGGAGAGGGAUGCAGAAUUCCAGGUGUAGCGGUGAAAUGCGUAGAUAUCUGGAGGAAUACCGGUGGCGAAGGCGGCAUCCUGGACCGAGAUUGACGCUGAUGAGCGAAAGCUAGGGGAGCAAACGGG